rnacentral:lncRNA from 1 species
UGCACCAUCGAAACAUUUACCGGACGGCUACACUUGGAGAGGCCGAAGACGAGGAAGAGGAUGUUGCGUAUCAAGAGCCCAACGCAAUAGGUAUUCCUAACUCCUCUACCGUUCGCCUUAGUAAUUUUAAAGCGGGUCGUUCGGUGCGAAUUCGUGAUGAAGAGCCAAGGCUUAUUGAUGUUGAUCCAAAUCAAGAAACAGACGAAGACUCUGGCGAUGAGGAAAGACAUAUAUUACCAGAAAUUAAUUCUGACACCGAAGAAGACUCAUCGGAUGAUUCCGAUUACGUGCCUUAGUUUUAAUUUAGAGGUCGUAAUCCAUUAAUUUGUAUAACUAAAGACCUUUUCCUUUAUAGUUUACAUAUGUUGAAUUCAUAUUUCAAUUAUUUUAUAUGAAUUUUGGUGAUACAUGAUGAACAGGAAGUUAGUAUGGUUUACUAAUAUCGUCUGUUUUUUUUAAUGUAUUUUUUUCCUUAAGCCGACGAAAUACACUAUAAUUCGUCGGCUAAAACCAUCUUAGCCGACGAAUUAUAGUGUAUUUCGUCGGCUAAACCCAUCUUAGCCGACGAAAUAUACUAUAUUUCGUCGGCUAAAACCAUCUUAGCUAACGAAUUAUAGUGUAUUUCGUCGGCUAAUAAAGUUUUAGCUGACGAAUAACCUAAUAUUUCGUCGGCUUUAGUUAUUUUUUAAUUUUUUAAUUACAUACUAUAGCCGACGAAUACGUUAGGGUAUUCGUCGGCUAAAUUCUAAAAAUUUUCUAUUACCUACUAUAGCCCUAUCUUCGGUUGUUAUUUUCCAUAAAAUUUUUAGACGACUUCUUGCGUCUCAUCGGUUUGAAACUAUUUUCAGUUGGAGGUCCGGCCAAAAUACGUAAUUUAGACGGUCGAACGACCUUUUUCAUGCGUUUAGGGGUUUGACUUACGAGAUUUACCGUCCGGAUCGAGCCCCUAUUCUUGUCGGAUCAAGUUGAAUUUUUUCCCAUACAUGUAUUUUAUCAUGAUGGUCAGAUCUGACGGUCGGAUUUAUUUUUCUCAAGUUUGAUCAUCACAAUCACAAUGUGCCAAAUGUAUAAAAAUACUUUUAGCCGACGAAUUUCAAAGGUUAGCCGACGAAUUUCAAAGGUUUAGCCGACGAAUUUAUAAAGUUUAGCCGACGAAUUUCAAGGUUUUAGCCGACGAAUUUAGAAGGUUUAGCUGACGAAUUGAUGUAUAGCCGACGAAAUUCGUAUCUUUAGCCGACGAAAUAAUUAUUUCGUCGGCUCAAGUUUUCGGGUUUAACUGCGAAACCCUAGCCUCCUCCCUCCCUCCCUCUCCCGGUCCCGAU